UUACAAAAAUCUUUCUUUCUGGUACUUUGGUCUCAACAAGCCCUGUUUUUGAGGACAGUUUUGUUUACAGAGACUUCAUAAUUCAGUUUAUUUAAUGUUGUUCUUGUUUGGAUGUUUAAAGUGUC